GCUCGGAUGAGCUUCACUGGUGUGGGGUGCAGGCUUCAAACCUGUAGGUGGUUAACGCCACAGCCGUUCGAUUCGGCCUUCCGAGCG